AACGAACGCUGGCGGCAGGCCUAACACAUGCAAGUCGAGCGGACCCUUCGGGGUUAGCGGCGGACGGGUGAGUAACGCGUGGGAAUAUGCCCUUCUCUACGGAAUAGUCCUGGGAAACUGGGGGUAAUACCGUAUACGCCCUUUGGGGGAAAGAUUUAUCGGGGAAGGAUUAGCCCGCGUUGGAUUAGGUAGUUGGUGGGGUAAUGGCCUACCAAGCCGACGAUCCAUAGCUGGUUUGAGAGGAUGAUCAGCCACACUGGGACUGAGACACGGCCCAGACUCCUACGGGAGGCAGCAGUGGGGAAUCUUAGACAAUGGGGGCAACCCUGAUCGAGCCAUGCCGCGUGAGUGAUGAAGGCCUUAGGGUUGUAAAGCCCUUUCAGCUGGGAAGAUAAUGACGGUACCAGCAGAAGAAGCCCCGGCUAACUCCGUG
rnacentral:rRNA from 1 species